AUUGAGGAUUCCAACAAGGAUUGGAAUAGCACCAGAAGAUGUGACUGCUAAUUUGUUCGCUGUACAAGAAGAGACGAUCAAGAGAGCAGCUAUUAUGAGCUCAGUCAGCGUCCCAUUCUGGCAUUGGAGGAGCUCUAACAGCACAGGGAUUGAGGAAACAACAACGAAUUCACCUUUCACUUCCAAAGGCAAGGCUAAGUAAAGCAAAAAGAGCAGCUUCAAUGGCUUCAUAAUCCUGACACUGAAGCAUUGAAAUCAAAGGAGAAAUAAUCCCUCUUUCAGCCAAUUUGUGCCUUUGCUUACUAGUGAGUUUACCAAGUUGAGCAGCAGCCUGAAUCUGUGCUUCUCUCUCACCAUUGAAGAGAUUCUGCACCACAAACUCUUCCAUGACUAGUUAGCAAUCUGCAAUCCCUCCUCCUGCUGCUGCUGCCAACAAUAAAAUAUCAUAUAGUUAGGCAACAGUGAAGAUAGGUGAUAUGUUGAUGGUGAUAUUAGGAGGUUGCUUGCUUGAUAAUGUAACGUUAAGCCUUUUGUGGGUAUGCAUUGUUUGAGGUUGAAGCAACUUCCUAUUCUCUUUCAGUGGGCUUUUUUUCUUGAAUGCCGAUUUAGAAAUGCAAUUGAGGAUUCCUAAGAGUGAAUCUUUAUCUUUCCUUUUAUGGAAGCAAACGCAUUCAGCUUUUCUUUGGUAGGCUAUUAUUAUGUAGAUUUUUUUUUUUUUUUUUUUUUUUUUUUGUUUCC